rnacentral:rRNA from 1 species
CGGAGGCGACCGCUAUUGGAGUUCGAUUAAGCCAUGCGAGUCUAGAGGCUUAGGCCUCGGCGUACCGCUCAGUAACACGUGGAUAACCUGCCCUGUUCAGGGGGAUAACCUCGCGAAAGUGAGAAUAAUACCCCAUAGUUCACCAUGCCUGGAACGGUUGGUGGAUGAAAGCUCUGGCGGAACAGGAUGGGUCUGCGGCGUAUCAGGUAGUAGGGGGUGUAAUGGACCUCCUAGCCCUCGACGCGUACGGGUUGUGGGAGCAAUCGCCCGGAGAUGGAUUCUGAGACACGAAUCCAGACCCUACGGGGUGCAGCAGGCGCGAAAACUUGACAAUGCGAGAAAUCGUGAUCAGGGAACUCCAAUUGUCCCCGUUUUUACGGGGUUCUGAAUUGACUCUAAACAGGUCGAGUAAUAGGGGCGGGAAAUAUCGGUGCCAGCCGCCGCGGUAAUACCGAAGCCCCAAGUGGUCGUCGUUCUUAUUGGGCCUAAAACGUCCGUAGCCGGUUUGGUACAUUCGUGGGUAAAUCAGACAGCUUAACUGUCUGAAUUCUGCGAGCACGGCCAAACUUGAGACCGGGAGAGGUGUAGGGUACCUGCGGGGUAGGGGUAAAAUCCUGUCAUCCCGUAGGGACCACCAGUUGCGAAGGCUCUACACUAGAACGGAUCUGACGGUCAGGGACGAAGCCUAGGGGCACGAACCGGAUUAGAUACCCGGGUAGUCCUAGGUGUAAACGCUGUGGACUUUGUGUCGGGAAUUCUUCGAGGAUUCUCGGUGCCGGAGUGAAGAUGUUAAGUCCACUGCCUGGGGAGUACGGUCGCAAGGCUGAAACUUAAAGGAAUUGGCGGGGGAGCACUGCAACGAGAGGAGCGUGCGGUUUAAUUGGAUCAACGCCGGG